rnacentral:snRNA from 1 species
GUGCUCGGUUUGGCAGCACAUAUACUAAAAUUGGAAGGAUACAGAGAAGAUUAGCCUGACCCCUGCUCAAGGAUGACACACAAAUUCAUGAAGCAUUCCAUAUCUUU